rnacentral:lncRNA from 1 species
AGCAUUAUCCCCUGGGGAUUUAGAAGUCGAUGUGACCCCCAAACUUCAAACAGACAAAACUGGAGGCUUUUUUUCCUUUGUCCCAACCCCUGACGUCUGAUGAACUAUUGCCGAGCCCUCCCUCUCCUUCCUCCCAACUAGCCUCCCUGGAGUCUGUUACUCCCCUCAACAGCCUUUGUGGGAAUAAACAACAACUUCCCACGCCUGACAAGGGAACUUUCCUGGACCAGGAGCCUGACAAUUUGCUAAUGAAACACUCCCUCUUGACUGCCCAGAUGGUUAACCAGAUAUUUACCCAAUUAGCUACGGUAGUUGAACUCCUAAAUGGUCUUUACCGGAUAAUUCCUGCAAUGCAACCAAUCAACCCUAGUCCUCAUGCAGGCUCUAAUUCCUGUCUACCCCAGAAGACUGCCGCCAACUUCUCAUGUACGAAUUUUUCUACUCCCAUCUAUGCUCCUAAAACUGUUCAACUAAUUUACGAACCCAACUGUGCAGCAAUUUCAGUAUCUUUGAGCAGAGGGAAAUACUCUGAUUGGGCAAGAAUAAAGCAUGCCAAAAUCCAUCUGGCUAUACUACUUAAAGUAGCCUCCUCCUCUAUUGAUCUAUACAAAAUUGAGAAAUUGACCUCUCCUUACUCUAUGGACCGUUUCUUGAUGCACUUCACCUCCAACCGCAUCCCGGGACUGAUGUUUUCACGUGCAGGUAUUCUGAGAAGAACUGGUAUCUUCCCCCAAAGACAUUUUAGGAAUACUACCAUCGUGAGCCUCCUACCGCCCAAGCCUAAUCUGCAAGACUUCAAGACGAUGGUCCCUGCACCAGUAUCUUCCCCCAAUAUGGGCCAGAGCCCUAAUACUUUCCCCGCCUUCCAGGAUUGCCUUUUGGAUUUGUCACCCCCAACUGACCUUCCUCCUCCUCUGAUGGAUGCCGAUGCGAACUCUGACUGUCAGAAAAAGUUACAGAUGAACCCAGCUGAUCAACCUACUGGAACCUCCUCCAAUUGCAACCCCCUUAUUUUGGAACCCGUUUCUGAACCCAGGGUCCCCAAUUGCUCCCCAGGGAUACCCUCUGACUGUGAAAACCCAACCCUUUCUCUGAUCCCUGAUAACAGCAGCUUCCCCU